rnacentral:rRNA from 1 species
UACGUAGGGUCCGAGCGUUGUCCGGAAUUAUUGGGCGUAAAGAGCUCGUAGGCGGUCUGUCACGUCGGACGUGAAAAUCCAGGGCUCAACCCUGGACCUGCGUUCGAUACGGGCAGACUAGAGUUCGGUAGGGGCAACUGGAAUUCUCGGUGUAGCGGUGAAAUGCGCAGAUAUCAGGAAGAACACCUAUGGCGAAGGCAGCUCUCUGGGACGGUACUGACGCUGAGACGCGAAAGCGUGGGGAGCGAACAGG